rnacentral:rRNA from 1 species
UACGUAGGGUGCAAGCGUUGUCCGGAAUUAUUGGGCGUAAAGAGCUCGUAGGCGGUCUGUCGCGUCGGAUGUGAAAACCCAGGGCUCAACCCUGGGCCUGCAUUCGAUACGGGCAGACUAGAGUUCGGUAGGGGAGACUGGAAUUCCUGGUGUAGCGGUGAAAUGCGCAGAUAUCAGGAGGAACACCGGUGGCGAAGGCGGCGCUCUGGGCCGGAACUGACGCUGAGGAGCGAAAGCGUGGGUAGCAAACAGG